UAAAUUAUUGAAAUAAAAUUAGUAAUAAAAUGUUCUUCUAAAUACAAUUAAUCCCGAUUUAGAGAAUUAAGUAGAUAAUACCUGGAUCAGACCUGGAUUGUUCCUUCUCCCAAGAAAGAGAAUACUUAAAAGUUCUCAUAUUGCAUACAAUUUUAUAUCUACGAUAUGUAACCACACAUUUCAUCAUUUUCAAGAUAUCUCUUUUUUUUUUUUCUUAACGAUUAUCGAUCAAUUUUUCACAAAAUCCUCUUUUUUUCCUUCUCCGUUUAUUUUCAAGCAACAAAAAGAUAUACACGUUAAGAAUUCGCUUUUACUCCCUUAUUUCAAAUCCUCGUUUUAAAUUCUGCUUCCAUCCUAUCCUCUCUGUCCUCGACACGUUCGUUACGAAUACAACAACGACGAAGAGAGAGAGGAAAGAAGGAGGAGAGACGUAUUUCGUACUUUCUUGUAAUUCCCUGGUCGAUCGUGAAUGAGACUCGGUGCGAGAAUCGAGCGUGAAACCAUGUGACGAGAAGUGUGCGCAACGCGUCGAGUGCCAAUGUGUUUUCCCAGUUGGGUCAAACACCCUGAGCUCUUAGAUAAGGUUCCCAACCUUGGCACGGCCAAGCCGGCUAACCACGUUACGUAUGUAGGUGCACCCGCGAUAGAGAAGGCGCGUGUACGCACGCACGAUGCACACGGUGCGUGCGAUCGCGGUGCGUAGUCGGCGCACGCGCCGCUAUCAGGAACGAAAGAAUCGCGAGAAUGCGAAAGAAAAUAGCAUUACUGGCCUGCUGAUAUAUAAUUGUUAUUAAUAGUGGUGGUGUGUUGUUUCAAGCGAUAACGCGAUAUCGUAAACAUACACGAGAGGCAUCUCUUUCCGCUCGAAAUUCUCUCCUCGAGUCGACCGUUUGAGAUACAGACGAAUAUUUAACAUGUAACAAUUUCAAUCUGAGAGAAAUUACAAGAUAAAUCCACAAUAAACAUCGGGGAUUAGAAGAUAAAUUGCAAUAAAUCUCGGAAAUUUGAAACGCUUCUUCAAGUCUUCAAAGGAGCUAGCGCGUAAUUCUAAUCUCAAUAUUCAAAAGACCGGAAGGAAUAAAGAUGAAGAAGAAAAAAAAAGAAGAAAAAUUCGAACUCAAACAUCUACCAACCGUAUGUAUUCAUAACAAUUUGAAAAAUGUAAGUAAAGCAUAAACUUCUCGCUCUUACGAAAGAGGUCAGUUUCUUCGGACACACGAUAUUACCAGGAAAAUCAGUCGGUCACCUUGCAAGGAGAAUUUCUUCCGUGUGUACGAGCGCGUUACGCGUAUAUGGCGCGCGUGUGGGUGCAUUUAAUUGAACAGGCGAGGCGAGACCGAGCGAUAGGAACCACGUCGAGAGAGGGUUUUAGAGCCAACCGGUGUUUACCCGCGAUAACAGCCGAUGUACAUGCGGCCAGUGGCGCCUAUGUUGCAGCCAGUGACGAAUCAAGCCGGGGCACGCUGCCAUGCAACACCAUUCUCGGUUUGUUUGGCCCGCGCCUUUCUAAAAUUAACCGUCGCCUAAGUGUAAUUAAGACCAGUUCUCUGUUAAUCCCUUUUUCGAGAUCUUGUCUUUCUUUCGUUGCCGACCACGGAGGCUGGAAAGUAGAAACAUUCGACGAUUUUGAGAAAUUCAACAAAUGAGAGUUUAUUCGAGAAGAUUUUUUAAGUUAGAAAUAAAAUUGUUUUACAUCGAUAAUGAUAUAAUUGCGCGUGAAAUUUUUAGUUAUAAUUUUUAUCUUUCUUUUUUUUGGUUAGAUUGAAUCAAGAAUAAGUAGAAUAAUUGUGAGAGGUGAUUAUGCGAAGAAAAAUCUAUCGUGCGAUGAAUUAAAUAUUAGAAAUUGAAAUAUUAGACUGGUAUUAAAGGUAAAAAUAAAUUUACUAUUAUGCCAACUACUCUGAUGUUCAUCCUCCAAAAUUAUCUAGAAACGUGACAUAUUAAUUGUUCUGAGCGGUAUAUUUUAAAAUAGUCUCUUAGGUAACAGUUUUAUUUAAUUGAAAUAUCACAGGACGAAUUCGCAGAAAUUGCAACAAUUCGUCUAUUUAUACAAUCUCCUAAUAAUCAUUAAAUAUACAAUAAUUAAAUAUUUACUCGAAAUUUAAUCGCGCUCACA